GUUUUAUGCUCUGCCACUCACAUCCCUUGUCUUCUCUAACAUGCCAUAUUUAUGUCAGACGUCAUAUCCUUUCGUCUUUCACAUUCCUCCAUCUACUCUCACGCUAUCACAAAAAAAUUGAGAUGACGACACCGCCAUUUGCUUCCUCUGCAGCGCACAGGAAAUGACGCCGAGUAGAAUAUCUGCUUCUAGAAACCAUCCAGCCUCUUCCACUCUCAUUUGCUUCUUUGUUUGAUUGGAACUUCGACCCUUUCUUUCUCUUGUUUCACAGUAAGUUCUCGGCCUAUUUUUCGCUGGUUUGUUCUUCAUGUAGCUCGAUCUACCCGAGAAACUUCAUUUCCUGCUAAAUUCUUGCUUCUUUAUGGAUUUGUUUGUUACUUUUUGUAGUUUUAUUUAAGAUUUUUUUCUUUUUCCCUGUCUGAAAUGUGAAAGUUUUGUUGGGUUACUAUUUAUUUGCUUCGAUCUACUUCAAAAGCCAAAGAUCCUGCUCAAUUUUUUUACGAUUUUGUUAUCAUUGACUAUAUUCCAAUUCUGGCUGUCGUUUUUACUAUAGUUCUAGCAUAUUUCCAAGAGACAUUGCUACUAUUUGUAGUUCUAGCUUAUUUUGUAGUUUAUUCGUGUUUUUUUUUUUUUUUUUUUUUUUUUUUUUUUUUUUUUUUUUUCGCACAGCCUUAUCUCCUUUUCUCCAACCAAUGUCUCAUUCUCUCACAAAGGGUGUGCCACGACCAAGCACAAAAUAGAAGUUGAGUUUUAAGAAAAGGGCAACAACCUUGAAAAUUAAACAGUCGAGAAAUAUGCGCAAACGUACUGGAUUAUAAUAUGGAUCCAUUGUUUCUCUAUGCAUUUUAAAUAAUCGAUUUUCAUUUUCAUUUUUUUGUUAAUUAAUUGUUGUUGUCUCCUUAUUUUUUAUCGGUGUACUAUGGAUGAAUGACUUUCUAUUUGACACAUAAAUUUGCUAUUUGUUUGGGGAGUUCUGAUUGGUAAGCUCAUUUCUGAUCUUGUUUUUCUUCUCUUUCUUUGGGCAUUCUUUUUUUGAGAAUAAAUUGGAGAUUUCAAAGGGAGUAGGGAUUUUGAAAUGAAGACAUUUUAUGUUCGCAACUUUUCAUUUGGUGUUGUGUUUGGGGUCGUCAAAGCUCCCUUCUUGUUCUUCUUUUUUAGAUUUUAAUCUAAUCCUUGCAAUAUUUUUGUGAUAUUAAAAAAUAUGAACAAGGAAUCGAAAGAAUUUGCUGGAGAAAAAUGUGACAUUUAUUUUUUGCUCUUGUGCGGGUUAUUGAAACAUUGUUUCUAUGACAAAUAUCACCUUUUCUACUUGGGACAAACCCUCUUUGGCUCUUCCAACUUCUAGACUUUAGCCGCAACGUUUGAGGACAGAGGUAAAUUAUUUAGUUUUUUGGUUUAAUUUCAAUAAGUAAUUACAAUGUGACUUUAGUUUUGUUUGGGUUGAUUCUGUUUCCUUUACAAUUAACAAUGUGUAUUUUAUUCUUUAGAGCUUUGCUGAAAACCUGUGCCCAUUUACCAUUUCUUUAAUUUGUUUAGUCUUCUUAAGUUCAAACCUACUCUUAUAUAUAUUUUUAAUCAGCCUUUCCACCAUUUCGUCUUUGCUUCUCAUAGUUCAUGAGAUUCUAUCUUCCAAUAUUCAUCGUGUUUGUAUCAAAGUAUUUGUUUUAUGAGAACUGCUUUGCAAUUUGCUCAAUUUUCGAACAGUAAGUUAUCUGAAAUGAUCAUACUUGAUCUUUUAAAUGCUUGACUUCUUGUGUUGUCCACUUGUAAAUGCUCGUCUCUGGUUGCUAUAGUUCUUCUGUGUUGUGCAUUUCUUUGCGGCGUCUCUUGGCCUUUCCUAUCUCGUUUUAUAUUCCUUAACACUCGAAUCAACAUAAUAUGCGACUCUGUUUGUAGACUCACAUAAGCUUGUUGAUUAAAAAUGUCUAAAUGAUGUGAAUAAAAUUUGUUUUUUUGUGGGUUUUAACUUUAACAAAAGACAUUUACAUUCAUUGAUUGCAUCACUAACAAAACAAAAAGUAUUUGCUUGAUGUGAACCCAAAAGUAAGAAAAAUAAUAGAGCGUAACAAUCUGAUUAUACUUGGUGCAAGAUCAGAUUAAAGCACAGUUCGAGGAGCUUAGGUCCAUGAGGAAUUUUUUUUUGUUCCAAGAUAUUUUUGGCAUUUAGAUCUAUAUAUCUGUUGGCAUUUAUGGAUUUACAUAUAUUUUCUACAAGUAAUAUAUGACUAUGGAUUCUUGCACAUCUGAUUGUAUUCUACUGACGUAUUAUGCAUGCUCUAAUUCUAAGUACAGCCUUGCAAUUUUUCUCAAAAUUAUGUUGCAUUUGUGCCAUUUUUACAACCGUAUAAUUUAUUUUAUGUUGUUCAUUUACUUUAAUUCAAAUGGGUUGCCAAUUCGCAGAAUAAUCUUCUAAAAAAUUUAAGUUAAAGGAGCAUUGGUUUUCAAUUUUAUGUUUUCACCAUUUGUCUAAAUUUGGUGUAGUAGGAGUAAUUGAUUAAAAAUUGAAUUUUCAGCAUUGGAAAAGAACGAUUAGAGAUUUUGGACUAGAAUUUAUGUAUAGAUGGAUUAACUUUCUAUUGUACAUUUGUCUGACAACAAUUCUUUGACAUGUUUGGACAAUAAUUCUUGUAUAAUCUAUAUGUUGUCUCUGUAGUAUAGAUAUUAUGUCAAACAGAACUGAUCUACCACACCGUUUUGUUCAAGCUAUCAAACUUUCGUUGGACCAUAAUGUUCGCUUGGUAAGUCUUCAAAUGAUCUCUUUGUCACCAUUUACUGAUAAUUAAUGAAAUUAUAUACCAAGUAAACCAUAUUUUCAUGAGACUUAUAUCUUUUUCCUAUAGUUGCUUCCUAGAUCUUUUGUAGAAUGCUCAGGACGUGACCUUGGUGAUACAGUACGUUUAACUGGUUACGAUGGAAUUAUUUGUAACAUACAGUUGGAGAGAGUUGAUGAUAAUAUAUAUCUUGGUACCGGAUGGCCACAAUUCUUUGAUCACCAUAACUUAGAAGAUGGUUAUGUUCUCGUCUUUGAAUAUAACGGAAAUUCUACUGUCGAUGUUUCGAUAUUUGAAUGUUCAGGCAUGGAAGUAACGUAUGAGUCUGAUAUGUUUGACACAUAGACUUCACAUACUGGAAUCCUAUCUUCCGAGUAACAUUAGAAGCUAAUCGUGAUGGUCAUCGAAAAAUUGUAUGCUCCUUUGUAACUUAAAUCUUUCCUGAACUACACAAAACAUUUCCAUACUUAUCAUUCUUGCUGAAUUCUGGAUUUAACUAUUUAUAGAUUUGUCAUUUUGCUUUGUAGUACGUACCUGGGACCUUCGCUCGAUUGUUCUUACCAGCGUCUGUCCAGAAUGUUCAGAUCCAUGAUCGUUCACAUCAUAAUUGGUCCAUACGUACAAACUUAAGAACAAAUGGUUAUCUACGAUCUUUUACCGUAGGUUGGGCAGAAUAUGUUAGAGAGAAGCAACUUCAAAUAGGUGACACAUGUGUCUUUGAACUUAUGAACGAUGAAAUCCCCAUGUUCAUGGUGUAAAAAGUGUCCCGCGCUGAUGGAAGUUGGACUCUUACAUGAACUGUACAUUUCCAUUUGUGGCUUUCGUAUUUACUUAUUAUCGGAUAUUUAUCUGUUUUCUUCUGUACAAACACUCAAUGACUAAUCUAUUGGGUUUCGAAAUUGUAAUUUGCCUAUUCUUUUUUGGCUUCACAUUGGCACUAAAUUUGUACAUUUAAAUUUAUUCUUAUUAAAUUCGAUAGAAAACAAUCUAAACAAAAUAUUAUGAGUCUAUAUGAAAAGUAUUUCCGCCUAACUCAAUUUUUAGGUAUUUCUUUCGGUGCGCCUACAUUUAGCUUUCAAGGGUAUACCUUCGUGCCACUAAAAAGGUUUAUUCUUACUUCAUGUAUGCUCUAAUAUAUAAUUGGUUUUUUUCCUGCAUCUCCACUUCAAAUGCGCUUUAAUUCUUACACUUCUACUUACUUCAUGAAGGUCCACAUUUUUCUACAGGUAUAUCUAAAGAGUCAAAUAUGAAUGAUAAUACUUGAACUUCUUCCAAAGCAUUUAUCACUAAAUUUAGAAAGAACUCUCCUGAAAGAUUACCAUAAUUUGAAAGAACAAUUAAAUAUCUUCAUGGAAAACUUAUCUUUUGUUUAUAACUACAAAGUGAACAUUAUAGAACUCAAACAAGAGAUAACUUCUUUGUCAACAUAUUUGAUUGUUCUUUUAGAUUGUGUUAUUCUUUCGGGAGAGUUUCUUUUAAGUUUGGUGAUAGUUACUUUGGAAGAAGCUCAAACUUUAGACUCCAGCAUAUUUCAUAUUGAGAGGUAAUUCCUAAACCAACGUCAAAUUUUCCUCAAUUUAAAGUCCUGAAUUAUGUGUUCAGAACGAAUUAUAUUGUCAUUGUAUAAUCAAUUGUUGAACCAUUUUUGUUCCAGCAGCUGAAAAUAUCUCUAUGCCUCAGAAGCCCAGGUAUUCUCUUCUUUUCUUUGCACACUUAUCUCCUCCUCAACGUGAUGGUCAUUAGGAUUUCUUAAUGCUUGUUGAGUCUAAUUUAAAUUCAUGUUUGUUCACAAUUUUUAUCUUAGCCAAUAAUGCUUUUCUUUAAAUUAAUUUAUUACUAUUAUGUAUUCAAUUGCAUAUAAUGCAAUUGGCGUGUUAACAAAGGUAUAAACAGGGGUUCAAGUAUUUGUUAGACCAACUAGCAAGCUACGGAAGCUCUUACCUUACAUAAACUGUCAGUUUGUAUUAUUCGUUUAACUAUUCUAAAUAUUUGUUCUGUUUUUUAUUGAAAGCAGGAGAAAAAAAAAUUCAAAUCAUUUCUUUUUUAAUUGUAUGGAAAUUAUUCCUUUUUAAUACAACAUUGGUUUAGGUGUCAAUCGGAUCUUAUAGCUUUAAUAGUGUACAUGAAUAAAACUUUUUGCUUUACGAAUGUAGGUCUAGAAAUAAGUGGUCAGCUGAACUUGGAAACAAGGAUUUGGUUAGCUGAACUUGGCAACAAGGAUCCAGGUGGCUCAUGUGGCUCUCAAGCAUCGCUUGAAGGUAACACAAUAACAAAGGAUUAUUGCAUUCAGGGUAGGGUAAUCUCUAUUUCUAAUAAUUUCAUUAUCCUCAAUCUUUUUCUUCUUUUGUUUUGUUCUCUUUACUAAUUGUUACACUUUGUGCGUUUAGCCCUCUGAAAUGUGACGAUGAGUUAGAGAUUACUGGAAGGACAUUAAAAGGAACAGUGUGUCUGUCACUGUAGUUAACUUUGAUGAGGAAGAUGAGGAAAUGCCCUUUCUGACAUGCUAACCCAUGUUGCAAAGUACUGCUCUAUUACGUAUGCUUCUCACUAGAAUAUGGUCCUACAUUUUACUUUGAACGAUUACUAAUUUUGCAUAAUUCGACAUAUUCAUUACAGGAAUCGUAUUGUAUAUUCAAGUGCAAAACUAUCCCAUUUGAUACCUUGUAAUUUUUUAUUUUUUAGCAGUUGAUGGCAGUAUUGUUGCAAAGAAAAGACACAUUAGAAUGGGCUCAUAUAGGAAAAGACGCCGUCAAGUCAAUCUGGUUCUUGCUUGUUCUAAAAAAUAUUAUACUUUGGUAGGUUUUCUACUCCUCUCUUUCCCGUUGUUCAUUGUAGUACUCGAUAUGAAAAUGAAGUACUCAAAGAAUAUACUUCUCUUACGGUUCAACUUAUAAUCUCUUGCACCAUUUAUGUUCUUCGAUCUGACCAUUUAUUUAUUUAGUUUCUUCUUUUCUUAGGUAUGUACCCUUACUUAAUGCAAUCAUUUACCGUGGUGAUAGAGAGGUCACGAAAGAAAUUAAAAGCACAUGCCAGAAACAAUAGAGCACAGGCACUGUUACUUUCUACUCAGUUCUGGAAACUGCACCUUUGCUGUGUCUUAUGUAUAGUUGUCUUUGAUCUCUGUGUACCUUUGAUUAUGUCAAUUUAUCUUCGAGAUAUUUUGUUAUCUUUAACGUUGAUGUUCCCAAUGAUUUUAAUUCUUUAUGCACUUUCACCAACAAAUGUACAAGAACUUUCAUACUUCUAACUUGUAACUUUGUUUUGUUUUGCAGCACUACUUUUGCACAAAACCUCUUCAAUGAAGUUUAAAUUUAGCAGGAGUGUAUUGUUGGCUUCAUGAUACUUUUCUACAUGUAACUUAAAUGUUAUGGUGUAUCGAAUUCAGCUUUUAAGAUGUAUAAAUCAUCUUUUACUUACUCAUUAGAAUAAUAUUUUUUGACUUGUCUUCAUCUUUAAAUUAAAAGGCAUGCACAAAUUUGAUUUGACGAAUAUGAGAUAUCUUCCAACACUAACACAGUUUCUUUUUUUUCCUUCUUUUUUCCCUACGCUAUUACGUACUCGAUUAUACCAAAACAUGUGCCUUGCACGUGCAUCUCACUAGUAUUUUA
rnacentral:lncRNA from 1 species